UCGACGGCAGCACGGACUUCGGUCUGGUGGCGAGUGGCGAACGGGUGAGUAAUAUAUCGGAACGUACCCUGGAGUGGGGGAUAACGCAGCGAAAGUUGCGCUAAUACCGCAUACGAUCUACGGAUGAAAGUGGGGGCUCGCAAGACCUCAUGCUCGUGGAGCGGCCGAUAUCUGAUUAGCUAGUUGGUAGGGUAAAAGCCUACCAAGGCUUCGAUCAGUAGCUGGUCUGAGAGGACGACCAGCCACACUGGGACUGAGACACGGCCCAGACUCCUACGGGAGGCAGCAGUGGGGAAUUUUGGACAAUGGGGGCAACCCUGAUCCAGCAAUGCCGCGUGAGUGAAGAAGGCCUUCGGGUUGUAAAGCUCUUUUGUCAGGGAAGAAACGGUGAAGGCUAAUACUCUUUGCUAAUGACGGUACCUGAAGAAUAAGCACCGGCUAACUACGUGCCAGCAGCCGCGGUAAUACGUAGGGUGCAAGCGUUAAUCGGAAUUACUGGGCGUAAAGCGUGCGCAGGCGGUUAUGUAAGUCAGAUGUNGAAUCCCCGGGCUCAC
rnacentral:rRNA from 1 species